UACGAAGGGGGCUAGCGUUGCUCGGAAUUACUGGGCGUAAAGGGCGCGUAGGCGGGUCGUUUAGUUAGAGGUGAAAGCCCAGGGCUCAACCCUGGAAUUGCCUUUAAUACUGGCGGCCUUGAGUAUGGCAGAGGUGUGUGGAACUCCGAAGUGUAGAGGUGAAAUUCGUAGAUAUUCGGAAGAACACCAGUGGCGAAGGCGACACACUGGGCCCAUUACUGACGCUGAGGCGGCGAAAAGCGUGG
rnacentral:rRNA from 1 species